GGGGCAGCAGUGAAGGUGGCACCAAUGACCCUAUGCCAUCACACUGUCACUGUAUCAACCGUCCCUCACAACACCGCCAACCCGGCCGCCCAAAUUACUAACUUUCGUCUUUUGUUUUUUGGCCGAGAGAAAAAAAAUACCCGGAAAAAUUGAAAAUCUCAGAUUGCUUCGUUAGAAUUAAAUUAAUCAGUAUUCUGAAUUACGUAGCAGUUAAGGACACUGUGGAUGCGGUGACGAUGCCAAGUGAAUGUGUGAUGGGUUAAGAGAAGUGUAGAAGUGGAAAAUUGUUAUACGGGACUCGAGUGUGUUAAACAGUAGACUGUCUACUGUGUGAGUAUCCGUCAGAGGUGGACGAACAUGAACAAGCAAUACUCGCUCUUAUUGCUGGCUGUCGUGGCGGCGAUUUUCCUUCAGGAUUCCCUGGCCAGAAAGAGCAAGCCGAACUGUCCGUGGAUCGACCUUGAGAACGGUCGAGUGAAGAUCAGGAAAAAAGGUCGAGUGGCGACCUUUAAGUGCAAGAAGGGCUUCACCAGGUUCGACGGUGACCAGUUCGCCACUUGUCUGAGAACCACUUGGCAAGGCAGGAUCCCCAAGUGUAUAAGUAAGUGUUGUGAAG